CAUGUUGUGGAGGUGUUUUACUGGAAAAGGGACUGGUACACUUGAGAAAAUAGAUGGCAUCAUGGGGAAGGAAGAUUAUUUAGAAAUACUGAAGCAACACCUCAAGACAUCAGCUAGAAUGUUCAAACUUGGCCGCAAGUGGGUCUUCCAGCAGGACAAUGAUCUUAACCAUACCUCCAAAGUUGUAGCAAAAUGGCUUAAAGACGACAAAGUGAAAGUAUUGGAGUGGCUAUCAAAACCCUGACCUGAAUCCCAUAGAACUGAACUGAAAAAGUGUCAAGGAGGCCCACAAACUUGACUGAGUUACACCAGUUCUGUCAGGAGGAAUGGGCAAAAA